rnacentral:lncRNA from 1 species
GACCCCAGAAUCAGACUGUAUUUGGAGAUAAAGUCUUUAAAGAAGUAAUUAAAGUUAAAUGAAGUCAUCAAGGUGGGCCCAGAUCCAAUAUGACUGGUGUCCUUAUGAGAACAGGAGAUUAGGACAUGGACGCACAAAGAGGGAAGACCAUGUGAAGACACAAGAUGGCCAUCAGAAGCUGAGGAGAGAGACCUCAGAAGAAGCCAACACUGCUGACACCUGAUCUUGGACUUCCAGCCUCCAGAACUGUUUACAACUACCCUGGGAAAGAUUUCCCCUGAGAGAAAAGCAGAAACUGGAUGGAAGGAGCCCCCAAAACAAGGGACAGGGCUGAAUGAGGUGGAAGAGGCAGAAAUACCUUUCUGGAGAGGAAAAAGCCACAUUCUAGCCAUGGCACUUCGUGGCCAGAAGAAGUCUUAAGUCAUGCCUUUCCUGUUCUGCAAAAAGAGGGCCCCGUAUCAUGCCUGAGGGAUGAAUGUGGUUGUAUCGCAGGAAGUACAACUUUGAGAAGAAAACUGCCAAAGAAAAGAAUGUGGAAAAAGAUUAUGUUUAAAGAAUGGAUUUUCUGCUGGGAAGCCCGCGGUAUCAUGCCAAUGGAAACAGACUCAAUGACUAGACAACAGAAGACCUUGAUGUUUUUGUGCAAGUGGAGAAAGGAACAUUGUGUCUCACCAAGGAGAAAGGGGAAAGAAAGCAAGGGGACUGGAUGGUGAAAUCAGCUAUGAAGUAAACCUGGGACUGA